rnacentral:sRNA from 1 species
AAGCCUCGGGCGGCCUUUUGAGGGGCUCGGCUAGCUUCAGCGCCGUGGGGUCUGACCUGGCUGGGUGUAGUGUCCCGGCCCGGCAGGAGGGGCGGCCUGGUCCGGGUUGCGCCUCCUGGAGCCGCCCCCGGGACGUCAGUCCUGGAGGAGGCGAGGGUUGCUCCGGUUGCUAAGAAGACUAUGAACAAGUCAGAGGACCUGCUGUUUGCUGGUUCCUCAUUAGCAUCACAAGUCCAUGCUGCUGCCGUUAAUGGAGAUAAGGGUGCUCUACAGAAGCUCAUCGUAGGAAACUCUGCUCUUAAAGACAAAGAAGAUCAAUUUGGGAGAACACCACUUAUGUAUUGCGUGUUGGCUGACAGAUUGGAUUGUGCAGAUGCUCUUCUGAAGGCAGGAGCAGAUGUGAAUAAAACUGACCAUAGCCAGAGAACAGCCCUCCAUCUUGCAGCCCAGAAGGAGGCUACAAGGAUGAAAUGAACCCUUUCUGAAGGUGGCCACAGUUAGUAAGCAAACUGCUUCAUACAGGAGUGUGGACCAGGAGGAGGGAAAUUAUCGUUUCAUGAAACUCUUACUUACACGCAGAGCAAACUGGAUGCAAAAGGAUCUGGAAGAGAUGACUCCUUUGCACUUGACCACCCGGCACAGGAGCCCUAAGUGUUUGGCACUUCUGCUGAAGUUUAUGGCACCAGGAGAAGUGGAUACACAGGAUAAAAACAA